rnacentral:rRNA from 1 species
UAUCGUGGCCAUCUCAGAAGCAAAUCAGGGCCAGGUCUGGUUAGUAACUUGAAUGGGAGACCGCUGGGAAUACCAGGAGCCACAGGGG